GAUGAAGAACGCAGCGAAAUGCGAUACUUGGUGUGAAUUGCAGAAUCCCGUGAACCAUCGAGUCUUUGAACGCAAGUUGCGCCUCAAGCCAUUAGGUUGAGGGCACGUCUGCCUGGGCGUCACAUAUCGUUGCCUGAUGCCAGUUUCCUCGUGAUGGGUGACUGUGCAGGGCGAAUGAUGGCUUCCCGUGAGCAUUGUUGCCUCAUGGUUGGUUGAAAAUUGAGUCCUUGGUAGGGAGCGCCGUGAUAGAUGGUGGUUGAGUGACGAACGAGACCCAAUCAUGUGAGACCCCUACCGAAUUUGGCCUUCAUGACCCACAUGCGUCUUUGGAACGCUCAUGACGAGACCUCAGGUCAGGCGGGGCUACCCGCUGAGUUUAAGCAUAUCAAUACGGAGGA
rnacentral:misc_RNA from 1 species